rnacentral:rRNA from 1 species
AAUCUGACUUGCUUAUUGCACCACAUGUGUUUUUCUUUGAAACAAACUUGCUUUGGCGGUGGGCCCAGCCUGCCGCCAGAGGUCUAAACUUACAACCAAUUUUUUAUCAACUUGUCACACCAGAUUAUUACUUAAUAGUCAAAACUUUCAACAACGGAUCUCUUGGUUCUCGCAUCGAUGAAGAACGCAGCGAAAUGCGAUACGUAAUAUGAAUUGCAGAUAUUCGUGAAUCAUCGAAUCUUUGAACGCACAUUGCGCCCUCUGGUAUUCCGGAGGGCAUGCCUGUUUGAGCGUCGUUUCUCCCUCAAACCGCUGGGUUUGGUGUUGAGCAAUACGACUUGGGUUUGCUUGAAAGACGGUAGUGGUAAGGCGGGAUCGCUUUGACAAUGGCUUAGGUCUAACCAAAAACAUUGCUUGCGGCGGUAACGUCUACCACGUAUAUCUUCAAACUUUGACCUCAAAUCAGGUAGGACUACCCGCUGAACUUAAGCAUAUCAAAAGCCGGGAGGAA